rnacentral:rRNA from 1 species
AUUGAACGCUGGCGGAAUGCUUUACACAUGCAAGUCGAGCGGCAGCGCGGGGGCAACCCUGGCGGCGAGCGGCGAACGGGUGAGUAACAUAUCGGAACGUACCCCGUCGUGGGGGAUAACACAGCGAAAGCUGUGCUAAUACCGCAUACGACCUGAGGGUGAAAGCGGGGGAUCGCAAGACCUCGCGCGAUGGGAGCGGCCGAUAUCGGAUUAGCUUGUUGGUGAGGUAAAGGCUCACCAAGGCGACGAUCCGUAGCUGGUCUGAGAGGACGACCAGCCACACUGGAACUGAGACACAGUCCAGACUCCUACGGGAGGCAGCAGUGGGGAAUUUUGGACAAAUGGGGGCAACCCUGAUCCAGCCAUUCCGCGUGAGUGAAGAAGGCCUUCGGGUUGUAAAGG